rnacentral:rRNA from 1 species
AACGAACGCUGGCGGCAUGCCUAACACAUGCAAGUCGAACGAGACCUUCGGGUCUAGUGGCGCACGGGUGCGUAACGCGUGGGAACCUGCACUUAGGUUCGGAAUAACUCCCCGAAAGGGGUGCUAAUACCGGAUAAUGUCUUCGGACCAAAGAUUUAUCGCCUUUGGAUGGGCCCGCGUUGGAUUAGCUAGUUGGUAGGGUAAAAGCCUACCAAGGCGCCGAUCCAUAGCUGGUCAGAGUGGAUGAUCAGCCACACUGGGAGUGAGACACGGCCCAGACUCCUACGGGAGGCAGCAGUAGGGAAUAUUGGACAAGGGGCGAGAGCCUGAUCCAGCAAUGCCGCGUGAGUGAUGAAGGCCUUAGGGUUGUAAAGCUCUUUUACCCGGGAUGAUAAUGACAGUACCGGGAGAAGAAGCCCCGGCUAACUCCGUG